AAAAAAAAAAACACUUAAAACUUUUUUUAGGACUCCAGUGAGUUUGGGACUUCAGGAAAAAUCAACCCAGCACCAGCAGCCAUCAACCACCAUUCCAUCUCUUCACUUGAACAGCAUUAGUUAAGUCCAGAUGUGGGAACUCUCCUCUUGGAAGAAGUUCCUAAUUGUUUGUCUCAGACUGGUGUAAACAAGCUAGCCAGCCACCACCUUGCUAAAUCUAUAAGCUUUUUAGAAUCCAAUAUUCUGCCAGGAAUAUGCCUUGAUAGUUAUUCCUCAGCCCAUAUGUGGUGUUUUUUUUUUGUUUGUUUUUUAACAGAGUUAUGUAUGUCUGGGGUUUUUUAAAAAAAAAAAAACAAAACCCUUGCAUUCCAAAGGUCCAUACUGGUUACUGGUUUCAUUGCCACCACUUAGUGGAUAUUUAGUUUAGAACCAUUUUGUCUGCUCCCUCUGGAAGCCUUGGGCAGAGCUUACUUUGUAAUUGUUGGAGAAUAACUGCUGAAUUUUUAGCUGUUUUGAGUUGAUUAGCACCACUGCACCACAACUCAAUAUGAAAAAAACUAUUUAACUUAUUUAUUAUCUUGUGAAAAGUAUACAUUGAAAAUUUUGUUCAUACUGUAUUUAUCAAGUAUGAUGAAAAGCAAUAGAUAUAUAUUCUUUUAUUAUGUUAAAUUAUGAUUGCCAUUAUUAAUCGGCAAAAUGUGGAGUGUAUGUUCUUUUCACAGUAAUAUAUGCCUUUUGUAACUUCACUUGGUUAUUUUAUUGUAAAUGAGUACAAAAUUCUUAAUUUAAGAGAUUGUAUGUAAUAUUUAUUUCAUUAAUUUCUUUUCUUGUUUACGUAAAUUUUGAAAGAUUGCAUGAUUUCUUGACAGAAAUCUAUCUUGAUGCUGUGGAAGUAGUUUGAGGAACAUCCUAUGAGUUUUCUUAGAAUGUAUAAAGGUUGUAGCCCAUCCAACUUUAAAGGAAAAAGUGACCGCAUACUUUGCAAUCAGGCUGAGAUGUGGCACACUUUUCUAAUUCCAACUUUAUAAACUAGCAAAAAAAGUGUUUGCUUAUUCCACCAGUUCUACUGUGACAUACUCGAGAAUAAAGACAUGUAGCAAUAAUGGGGAGUCGGGGGGGAGUCUCACAGUGCCUUGGAAGGGCCCGAACUUGCCUUAAAUCUUCCUCAACCAAAUAAGUAUUUUAUUAGUGCUUUGAGAGAAUCUGAAUGUAGGAUGGGUUCAACUGCACAAAAGGAAUAGAUUUUUACCACUUUUUUUAUAUAGAUAUAAAGUGAAGCGACCGCCUCUUAGUGCUGAAGUAUGUAGUACAUGAAUAUGCCUUGUUUAAUUACAGAAAAUUCCAAAACUUGUACUAUUUUUUUUUUUUUCAUGUAGAAAGGCAGGAAUGUUUCCUAAGCUUUCCUGGACAGCAGAUGAAUGAGCGGUAGCUUUAGUUUGUACGUAGGUACAGUUGGAGCACUAUAUGUACUCUCUGGACUACUUUGACAGAAGUAGGUUUUUGAAUGUACAAGAUAAGUCAACUUGAGUUGUAAUAUAUUUUGGGGAAUCAGUUCACUACAAAUUGUGACUGUAAACAUUGUACUGUAAAUGUUUUGUAGUUUUCCCCCAAUAAAACUUUUGGGAAAAAAGGUAUUAACGUGUAAGAGCUUUUCUUUUUAAACAGGAAUGUCUGGCUUUCUAGCUCCCCCCAGCUAACCACAGCAGGCAUUCACUCCCAGGUCUUGGGAUGAUGGGGGUUGGAGAGCUGGCAGAGCCAGAGUUCAGAAGAGCCUGCGUCCUCUCAUGCCUGUAUAUAUUUUAUAAGUAAGUUCUAACAGAAAGAAAGUAAUUAUUGGGACUGUCAAGGGCAUUAGUUAGCUGUUCGCUUUGGUAAUAAGAUGCAUCCCAGAGUUGGCUGGCUGGUGGCAGGGCCUGGCCCAGAGGCCUGAAGGGGUGUGGCCUGCCUGAGAGUCACCGAGUGGAUCACGUGGCUGUGGUUGCAGCUGAAGGUCCGAUUUUUCGCUGGGAAACAGAACUGCUUGGGUGGGGAAGGGGAGGAGGAUCUUUUCUGCAGCCGGUGGCCUGCCAGGCCUGAGUGCUGAGCUGGAGGUGGAGAGUGAGGCCAGGCUUUUUCUGGGUCGGAGAACUGGAGUUUUGCCUGGAUUUUGGAAAGCCUGGAAAGCAAACUGGCUCAGAGAGGCUGAAUAGCCUGCUUCAGAUGACACAGCUUGUGGGUGGCCGAGCUGGCCUUCCAACCCAGAUUUCUGUCAUGAGGUUCCUCCAGCCGACAGGGGCCUCGGUGAGGAACUUGUCACAGCUCCGGUGGCCCGGCCCCCUUCCUCCUUCCCGGCCCCACAGGCUGGGCACAACAACAGUCACCUGGUGAUCGCGGGCUGCCUUCAGUGAGUCACCCUGCCCACAGCGAGCCUGGCUGGACGAUGUUAUCAGCUCCCCGCUUACUUAAUUCCUCGGUUGACAUCACCACCGCCUCCGUCUUCUCCUUCUCGGCAUUGCAGCCUGCAGCCUGGCAUAUCCUGGAAGGGAAGGCGGUGGAGGUCUCUUGCCAGAAACUAGCAGGGCAGGUAAAUUGGGACCUUCAGUUCCUUGGCCUUUAGCCCCAAGGGGCGUGGCCUGGCUUCUUGCUUUGCACGCAGGGGCCUCGGUUUACCUCCCAGGAGGUGCUCUUUGCUGUGAAGUCCUGGGAAGCACAUGACACCCCUGCUCUGUGCUCAUCCCCUCUCUCCUUGUGCAGAGGGGGUUUCCUGUCAGACAGAGGCCUUGAUGGAUGCCAAGCUGCUUGCCCUGCUAUGUGUCCAAGUGUAUCCUGGGGUCGUACCCUCAAGUCCAGCCUAAGUUCUGUGUAGCGUGGCCCCAGCUGCCUCUGAGCUUCUCAGAUGGGGCAGCUUUGCUGGCCUUGUGCUCACCUCUGUUACCAGGCCACCAUGCCCUGGAACUCAGCCCCUCACCUCCUGGGAGCCCAGGCCAGCCCUUCACCACCACAGCCUAGCAUUCCUUCUUGCGUCCCUUCACCUUGACCCCUCCCAGUGCCAACCUGCAGCCCCAGUGGCACAUGGGUAUGGUCAGUAUAGCAGUGACAGAAGUGACCGGAGACGCAUGUGGUUCCAUUUCAGCCUGGUCUCCGCCUCUGCAUCCCAGUGGGAUGGGGGAGGGAAUUUGCUUCUCUCCCCAAACUGUCCUGCUCUACCCCCUCCCCACCAUUGGAGCCGGGCAGCAGAUCGGGGAGGCUUAGAGGGCCCAGGGAGGGGCUGAGCGCGGGCGUCCUGGGCUGGACCUCCAUCUGUGGUGGGAAGCUACUCAAGCCUGGCAUUCGAGGGAGGCAGUGAGGGGAAGCAGGUGGGGCUGGGCAGGGACAAGGGGCAAUGCUCGGAGCUGCCAGACAGCUUCCCCUAUGACCCUCAGGGGAUACUUCCUCCAGUGGCACUGCCAGAGGCUGGGGAAAUAGUUGUCUAAACACCAGUCACCUUUACUCUAGUUAUUUGACCAAAACAAAUUGUUCCUUAGAAGGAAAAAGAAAAAAACAAAACCCCAAAACCCCACCAUUGAUGUCGUGCUGAUCACCCAGUGGGCUGAUAAGUCCUGGUGCAGAAAGCACCCCUGGGCAGGGCGAGUACCCCUACCUCAUUCUUCCCAUGGGAAGGGCAUCAGAGGUCGGCCCCGCUAAUCUGCACACAGAUGCUGCUGCUGCCUCCACAUCCUGCAAUGCUGCAGAAUGCUGUUCUAACAUUCUGGAGAGUGGGGGGCCAGAGAGAGGUCAGAACAACCCUGGGCUCAUCCCCACACACGCCACUCUCACUGGACAGUUUCCUCGCCUGUUGUGUAGAGGAGCUAUUGAGAUAUUAAGUGUGGAAGUGUACUGAGAGGCUGGGGCCCUGUAGAGAAGGGAAAGGGGAGAGGGAGAGUUGCAGAAAAGAGACCCCACCUCAAUGAUUUCAGGUCAGUCGAUGACAUCUGGCCUCAGAUCUGUUAGGCUCCCUUUAAGUCCUGAGUUGAGUUCUUAUUCCUGCUUCUAGCGAAGUGCACGCCUUGACAGUGAUUGGCACCGUUGCUGAACUUGGCUUGUGGUCUGCUCAGACCCUCGGCUCUUUCUGGAAUAAAACCUGACCAGAUUUAA